UGCGUAGGCGGGUUUCUAAGUCAGAGGUGAAAGCCUGGAGCUCAACUCCAGAACUGCCUUUGAUACUGGAAGUCUUGAGUAUGGCAGAGGUGAGUGGAACUGCGAGUGUAGAGGUGAAAUUCGUAGAUAUUCGCAAGAACACCAGUGGCGAAGGCGGCUCACUGGACCAUUACUGACGCUGAGGCACGAAAGCGUGGGGAGCAAACA
rnacentral:rRNA from 1 species